AGUGAACGCUGGCGGUAGGCCUAACACAUGCAAGUCGAACGGCAGCACAGUAAGAGCUUGCUCUUACGGGUGGCGAGUGGCGGACGGGUGAGGCAUACAUCGGAAUCUACUUUUUCGUGGGGGAUAACGUAGGGAAACUUACGCUAAUACCGCAUACGACCUACGGGUGAAAGCAGGGGAUCUUCGUACCUUGCGCGAUUGAAUGAGCCGAUGUCGGAUUAGCUAGUGGGCGGGGUAAAGGCCCACCAAGGCGACGAUCCGUAGCUGGUCUGAGAGGAUGAUCAGCCACACUGGAACUGAGACACGGUCCAGACUCCUACGGGAGGCAGCAGUGGGGAAUAUUGGACAAUGGGCGCAAGCCUGAUCCAGCCAUACCGCGUGGGUGAAGAAGGCGUUCGGGUUGUAAAGCCCUUUUGUUGGGAAAGAAAAGCAGCAGGUUAAUACCCCGCUGUUCUGACGGUACCCAAAGAAUAAGCACCGGCUAACUUCGUG
rnacentral:rRNA from 1 species